rnacentral:rRNA from 1 species
CGUCCCAGUUCGGAUCGCAGGCUGCAACCCGCCUGCGUGAAGUCGGAAUCGCUAGUAAUCGCGGAUCAGCAUGCCGCGGUGAAUACGUUCCCGGGCCUUGUACACACCGCCCGUCACACCAUGAGAGUUGGGAAUACCCGAAGCCUGUGAGCUAACUUUUAGAGGCAGCAGUCGAAGGUAGAAUCAAUGAUUGGGGUGAAGUCGUAACAAGGUAAC